rnacentral:rRNA from 1 species
CCUACGGGAGGCAGCAGUGGGGAAUAUUGCGCAAUGGGCGAAAGCCUGACGCAGCGACGCCGCGUGAGGGACGACGGCCUUCGGGUUGUAAACCUCUUUCAGCAGGGACGAAGCGAAAGUGACGGUACCUGCAGAAGAAGCACCGGCCAACUACGUGCCAGCAGCCGCGGUAAUACGUAGGGUGCAAGCGUUGUCCGGAAUUAUUGGGCGUAAAGAGCUCGUAGGCGGUUUGUCACGUCGGAUGUGAAAACUCGGGGCUCAACUCCGAGCCUGCAUACGAUACGGGCAGACUUGAGUUCGGCAGGGGAGACUGGAAUUCCUGGUGUAGCGGUGAAAUGCGCAGAUAUCAGGAGGAACACCGGUGGCGAAGGCGGGUCUCUGGGCCGAUACUGACGCUGAGGAGCGAAAGCGUGGGGAGCAAACAGGAUUAGAUACCCUGGUAGUCCACGCCGUAAACGGUGGGUGCUAGGUGUGGGGAACAUUCCACGUUCUCCGUGCCGCAGCUAACGCAUUAAGCACCCCGCCUGGGGAGUACGGCCGCAAGGCUAAAACUUAAAGGAAAUUGACGG